UACAGAGGUCUCAAGCGUUGUUCGGAUUCAUUGGGCGUAAAGGGUGCGUAGGCGGCGCGGUAAGUCGGGUGUGAAAGUCUCGGGGCUUAACUCCGAAACUGCAUUCGAUACUGCCGUGCUUGAGGACUGGAGAGGAGACUGGAAUUUACGGUGUAGCGGUGAAAUGCGUAGAUAUCGUAAGGAAGACCAGUGGCGAAGGCGGGUC
rnacentral:rRNA from 1 species